AUUGAACGCUGGCGGCAGGCCUAACACAUGCAAGUCGAGCGGAUGAAGGGAGCUUGCUCCUGGAUUCAGCGGCGGACGGGUGAGUAAUGCCUAGGAAUCUGCCUGGUAGUGGGGGAUAACGUCCGGAAACGGGCGCUAAUACCGCAUACGUCCUGAGGGAGAAAGUGGGGGAUCUUCGGACCUCACGCUAUCAGAUGAGCCUAGGUCGGAUUAGCUAGUUGGUGGGGUAAAGGCCUACCAAGGCGACGAUCCGUAACUGGUCUGAGAGGAUGAUCAGUCACACUGGAACUGAGACACGGGCCAGACUCCUACGGGAGGCAGCAGUGGGGAAUAUUGGACAAUGGGCGAAAGCCUGAUCCAGCCAUGCCGCGUGUGUGAAGAAGGUCUUCGGAUUGUAAAGCACUUUAAGUUGGGAGGAAGGGCAGUAAGUUAAUACCUUGCUGUUUUGACGUUACCAACAGAAUAAGCACCGGCUAACUUCGGGC
rnacentral:rRNA from 1 species